CGGGAAGUAGCUCAGCUUGGUAGAGCGCUUGGUUUGGGACCAAGAUGCCGCGGGUUCAAAUCCUGUCUUCCCGACCA
rnacentral:tRNA from 3 species